UAGACAAUGGCUGUAACAUCACAGAUAAACAGGAAAGGAAAUGUCAUUUGAAGAGUUUCGUUUAGAAGGAGAAUGGACGAGGGAUUACGGAUAUGCUGGACAAGAAUGCACAUCACACCUGCGACAAUAGGAACUCUGAUGCGUCAAGGAAAAUGACAACCUCUGCAACAUUAUUUACAGAACAGGAAGCACAUUCAAAUUCACACUGGCCAAGCAAGUAAAGGAAACUACAAGGAAAUCUGUCACAGAGCACGUUCUUGGUGAAGGGUGAAGCUUCAGAGAAUUGCAUGGAGAUCUACCGGUACCUCACAGGGACGCUGAGUUGGAUUAAUGACGUCAGCUGUGAUACACUCGACCCGCUGGUCUCGUGUCAACUUCGUGACCAGAUUGGCACAACACCACUGACUACAACUUUAUCACAGAUUCCAACGGGGAUUGUGGCCAUGGCGCCUCAACACGUGACCCAUCAUCUUCACAGUUGACCCUGGAGCCUUGACAGACCAGAGUCGCGAGUGCUGUUACAGAUCAGCCAUGGUUCACUUCCCCGUUUGGGCUUGACCAUUGCCUUGCUGGUCACGUCGUCAUGCAGUUCCAAACGCGCCUUACGCUAGAGUACAUGCGGAGUGGUACGCCUCAUAAGAAGGUUAAGGAUGACGGUGGUGGGGUUCUAAUGACCUGCCAGUUGCAAGAUGUUGCGCUGAAAGAAACGAAUGUCCGUCUUGUACAACGUUUACAAAGCACUCAACUAAUGGGGGCUGAAUGUCUCUCUCUGUUACAGCCAUGAUACUUGGUAGGUAAAAAGACGAUUGGUCUUUAUUUUGAUUCGUGUUGAUAGCUCUGUGUCACAUUUAAAAAACCGAAUUCGUGAAAUGAAAAAUCCACGCUUUCCUACAUUUUUGCCCUUCUUUUCAAUCUAUUUUUUUCCAGAGAGAAGGAAAAUACAUGUUUACGCACGUGCUGCUGUGAAUUCAGCACGAUACAUGUGUCUUUGUGAAAUGAAAACUUUAGCUGACCUACAUGUACACUUCGGUCUUUUCAGUCAAUACGUUUUGUACGUGUACGAGGGACAUUUAGAUUAGUGGCUCUUUUUGAAAAAGCAAAAUGCACUUAUCGAGAUUUUGGCGCCUAACAACAUUACUGUUAUUUUGACAUGACAUUUUCAACAUUUGUGGCUCUUUGUGAAAGCGGUGACGUAUGUAAUUGCAUAGAAUGUGGCACGCUACGAUUAAGUGAGGGAUCUCUCUCUUUUUUUGUGGUAUGGUGGGGAUUCUUCGGGUGCUCAACCCGAGUCUGAUGGCCUAACAGCUAAUACGCUGUUGGUUGCGGGCCUGUAUUACACCUACAGAAAAAAGGAGUAUAAUAUAGCAUGUUAUGAAAUACCAAUUUUCGGAAUACGAGCCGCACCUUUUACGUUGAUUAUCAUGCUGUAAAAGUCUCUGCGGUUUAUACGCCAGGCGGCUUAUACGGUAAAGUUUGAAGGAUAAAAUCUGUCGCAAAAGCCGCGGCCGGGCAUCAUCUGAAAUAAAUUAAAAUUCGAGUUGUCUAGAUUCCGGACUUCCCAAGUCAUGGAGUCACGGAACACAUACAUGAAAUGUGUACUUUGCAAAAAUUUUUAGUGAUUAUUUUCCCGCUUUUAAUACAUUGCAGACAAAUAGUCAUAUUUUUUUAAAGUUGUAACCUAAAGAUUUCUUUUCUACCUUUAAAUAAAAAUCAAUUGCUUCAAUGGUGUACUUUUAUGAAGCCGAUUUUUUUUUUACUUGGGUUCUUGAUGACAACGAUUCUGUGGUCUCGCGGUUAUCGGAAAGAGUCAGCGAUUGGGCUUUUAAUGAAUGGAUCUGCGGCAGAAAAAGACCUAUUCGAUCUGUGAGGAAACAAACUGUUCUUUGUUUUACCUUACCUUGAAUCCAUCCACUAGAACUGAAACUUAAAUUUGUUCAGGGAAGUUUAGUUGCAUCCAAACAAGAUUUUAUCGUUUUAUCAAAUAGACUAGCAUAGGUGUGUAAACUGUUUAAGCUGGUAUAAUAGGUACAUGAAAUUGAUUUUUUUGGUUGUAAAUUACAGCAAGGCACUCUUUCCUUGAUCUCCUAAAAAAUUCAGAUGGUGUAAAACUGGAAGAGCAAUCAAAUCUGUAUAAAAAAAUGUUUGAUACUGUUCACACAUUCCUAAGACGAAUACUCUGGUGAAACCUUUGCUUCCAUGAAAGUCAUAAUAUAGGGGAAGAAAACAGCGUGUAAUUUCUGGCAGGCUGCAAUUUCAUGUGAAUCCACAGGGCAUGAAAGUGAAGCAAAAUGUGUUCCCUCAGUUUUUAGUGCCGAUAACUAACUUGGAUGCCGUAACAUUCUUUUGCUUGCAUCACGCAAGCGUAUCACACAAUGACGAAAUAGUCGAAGAAACAUUAAACAGUUGAUAUGCAGUGAAAGAACACUAUUUUUUUUUAUGUUUACUGUUACGCUUGAAAUCAUAAAUUGGAAUUGAAAAGGGUGCACAUUUCUCGUUUUUAACAGUCUUUGAUUGGUAAAAGAGGUUACGAUCAUAUUGGACCCAAAACUUGUGAUGUAUGUUAUACCAAUUUACCUUGUUAUGUAUAAGACCAUUAGGCUACAAUGAAGUUUGGAACUGAGCAACUUCCGAAGUAAAUGUAGUUGUCAAAUCUGUUUUAAAAAGUAAUGUAUGCUGCCUGAGUAUUUACCUGUUAAUUUCAUUCACAACAUAAAAAAGUAGCGGUGUAAUUUUUAAAUUACAUUUCACUAUUAUGCCACGCAGAAUGUUAAUGAUGGAAUUGAAACGAGACCCUCUGUGAGACUGGGGGCAUGUUCUGUGACAUUUUGACUCUUUGGAGGUUACAUAUGUAUGGGGGCCCUUUAGAGCUGUUAUUUAUACAUGUAUUGCACGUUGAACCUCUUUUCUUCUCCUCUCGUUUCCUCUAGAGCACAUGCACGUUUUUUUUAGUACAAUGCCUUUUAAGAAAAUUUGGUUAAAAGGGUAACAAGGAUGCAACACGACUUCCGUCAAUUGUUGUGAUACAUGAUUUAAAAAAAUACCAGUUUCUUCCAAAAGAUAUGGUACAGCACUAUACCUAACUACUGUUGGUGAAAUUGAAUGUAAAGUCUUAGUAAUCCCAGAAAUCCACUGGCAAUUCCAAGCAUAUCCUGCCGAUGGAUUUCAUGGAAUGGUUCAGAAACUUUACAACAUUUGAUGAGCGAAGCCAGGUUUUCUGAUAUUUAUUUGUGGGAAAAACUGGUGCUACGAAGGUUUUGCGAAACACAAAACUCUCCAACAGGUUUUGUCUACAAUGAGUAUUUCUUUAUAUGCAAUAUGAAGAAUUCAUUUACUGCGAGGGACACGUAUCCCUGUCCAGGACCAUGUCAAAAUGUCACAAAACAGUUAUGUAAUGGUAUCGCCCUAAUAUCCUGUGAGCGCAGUAGACUCCUCUCCCACAUUAGUGUGUGCAAUAAAAAGACGAACAUGGCGGCUCCGCGUCGUAGCACUAGAUGGUGCACUACUUUCAGGAAAUAGCACAAGACGUGAAAGGAAAUUUGUCUAAGGAGUGAUUCUUGGGGUAGGUGUUUCUUAACAGAUUCUCCCACAUUACCGCGGGGGAGGAUUUUUGAGCUGCCUUAAAUAAUACCAAUUAAGCACAAUUCGAGCGGACAGUGCGUCAGACUACUAAACUUCACGGAGGUUUUGAACUGAAUAACCUUUAACUUAGUUAUGUAUAAGACAUUUAGCCGUGAGUGAAGUCUUGAACUUGGAGUAGUGAGGACACAGGAGUCACAACUUUGUCACUUCAAAAUGCUGGAUGAUCGGGUUCAGACGAAUAGAAAACAUGAAAACGUCCAGUCGCUGCUUGUAGCUUAGUCAGACAAAUACCUGGUACGAAUUUGGCUUAGACUGGCCAAUAACAUGUUGACCACCACUGGAAAGCUAGGUUCAUAACAAACAAAAUGCGCAUCAAAAUUUUAUCACACGGAGUGAUCAUAAGAUCUCAUGUAAUACACUCUUGUAUAAAUGCCGUAAUGAAGAUGGUUCAAACCACGAAAUCUUAUAAACAACUUGGCUAUUUAUUCCCAAAAUGACCAGAAGAAAGCAUUCCUGAAGGGCAGUAAUUGAACAUGAAUAUUUAGGGCACAUAGCCUAACAUAAGCAGCUGCAGAAGCAUUAAAUUUGAUGUUAUGAGAUAAAACCAUGCACAAACAAAACAUGAAUAUUCAAUUUCCUUUACUUCAGUACACAAAGUUUGAAGGAUGUAAAUUACCAGGCAUGCCAGAAAGCGGUAACUGGCCAGGUGUUAUGACCUGGGUAGUUCAAACUCCUGUUUCUUUCCUCCAUGCUUGAACUGAGUAACUUUGGUAAGUGGUGGUCAAAUGUGUUAAAAAAAUAGCUUUCCGGAAACCUGAUCUUUUAAUUUCCUUCACAUUCGAAGGAACUGUAUUUAUUGUGCAGUUUAGUUUGGAUCUUGCGUCACUUGAUUUUUAGUUUAUUUGUUGUGUAUUUUUGAAAUUUGUGAUGUCAUGUUCUUAGAUGUAUCUGCGCAUACUUCAUUCAACUCGGUUGGUAUGAUGAAUGCACCAGAACAGAAAACGACUUUUCUGCUGAAGAUGAAAUUGAAUGCGUCCCCAAAAGUUUGGGCAUGUUUUGUGACAUUUCAAAACAUUUGCAGUUUAGGUACUAGGGGUCCUUAAGAAUUGUUAUUUAUACAUGUAUUGUAAGUUGUAACUCUUCUUAGUUUAAACUCUUAGAGUACGUUGACGUUUUUCACUACAUUGCCUUCAAGGAAAUUUACCAGCAAAAAUAUUAAGGAUGGAAUACCACUUCCGUGAUUGUAGUAGGUACACGAUGUAAAAAGCACUAGUUUCUCUAAAGGAGAGUAUAACCAACAAUUCCUAACUUCUGAGGAAAUUUAAUAUUGAGUCUUACUAAACAAGGAAACCCAGUGACCAUUCCAAGCUUGGCCUACCGACGGAUUUCAUGGACUUUAAAAUAUUUCCUCAUUUUAGUUUAACUGGGGAAGACAUGUUCUCUGAUAUUUUGGGGAGAAACUGGUGCUACCAUAUAAUAUAAAUAUUUUGCUAAACAUUAUCUCGAAGAGGUUGUGUCUACAUUAUAAGCUUUUCUUCAGUAUGUGGAAAACAUAAAAAUUGGUUUGAAGAGCAUUCAGUAUACUGCUACGGAUCCUGACACAGAAAUGUGUCAAAUUGUCGCAAAGUGGUUAUUUCAUAGCAUGACCUGAUAUCCUUCCAUCGAAUGUCUAUGGAACAUUUGUUAAAGCCAACGUAAAUUGUUUGGUGAACAGGGUAUCUUAAAAGGAAAUUUUAUCUCUUGGAUGUAACUAAUUGUUUUCGUAAAUGGUAACCAUUAUCUGUUUCAUUAUGAAGUCAUCUUUCAUAUGACACCAAGAAAUCCGAACUUCCGUCAUAAUAGAGGACUGAGCACAUAGUGGUGUAAUGGACUAUGGCAGAAAUGGCUUGGGCCACAUUGCUGUUUUGAUGUUGAAUUCAUACUGUCCAGAGAUGGCUUUUUUGAAAAUUACGUAAUGUUUGCAACGAGAAUAACAGCAGAAGUUUCCAUUGAAGGAAACAGGGACAAAGCCAUUUUUGACAGGGUCCAUUAACUACUUUGUGCUCAGUUGUGCAUGACGGCAAUUGUAAUUUCUUGGUGUCAUACGAAAGAGGACAUUAUACUGAAACAUAUGUACAAAAAUAGGUUUCGUGUUUAAGCCCCCUUUUAAAAGUUACUUGAUAAUUUUUUAAACACAUGUAAUAAACCUAUUAUGAAUUUUCAUGUGGUA